AUGAACGCUGGCGGCGUGCCUAAUCCCUGCAAGUCGAGCGAACAGACGAGGAGCUUGCUCCUCUGACGUUAGCGGCGGACGGGUGAGUAACACGUGGAUAACCUACCUAUAAGACUGGGAUAACUUCGGGAAACCGGAGCUAAUACCGGAUAAUAUAUUGAACCGCAUGGUUCAAUAGUGAAAGACGGUUUUGCUGUCACUUAUAGAUGGAUCCGCGCCGCAUUAGCUAGUUGGUAAGGUAACGGCUUACCAAGGCGACGAUGCGUAGCCGACCUGAGAGGGUGAUCGGCCACACUGGAACUGAGACACGGUCCAGACUCCUACGGGAGGCAGCAGUAGGGAAUCUUCCGCAAUGGGCGAAAGCCUGACGGAGCAACGCCGCGUGAGUGAUGAAGGUCUUCAGAUCGUAAAACUCUGUUAUUAGGGAAGAACAAAUGUGUAAGUAACUAUGCACGUCUUGACGGUACCUAAUCAGAAAGCCACGGCUAACUACGUG
rnacentral:rRNA from 1 species